rnacentral:rRNA from 1 species
AUUGAACGCUGGCGGCAGGCCUAACACAUGCAAGUCGAGCGGCUGAAGGGAGCUUGCUCCUGGAUUCAGCGGCGGACUGUUGUGUAAUGCCUAUGAAUCUGCCUGGUAGUGGGGGAUAACGUCCGUAAACGGGCGCUUAUACCGCAUACGUCCUGAGGGAGAAAGUGGGUGUUCUUCUGACCUCACGCUUUCAUAUGCGCCUAGGUCGGAUUAGCUAGUUGGUUGGGUAAAGGCCUACCAAGGCGACGAUCCGUAACUGGUCUGAGAGGAUGAUCAGUCAAACGGGAACGGAGACACGGUACAGAGCACGACGGGAGGCAGCAGUGGGGAAUAUUGGACAAUGGGCGAAAGGGUGAUCCAGCCAUGCCGCGUGUGUGAAGAAGGUCUUAGGAUUGUAAAGCACUUUAAGUUGGGAGGAAGGGCAGUAAGUUAAUACCUUGCUGUAUUGACGUUACCAACAGAAUAAGCACCGGCUAACUUCGUG